rnacentral:rRNA from 1 species
UGGGGAAUAUUGGACAAUGGGCGAAAGCCUGAUCCAGCCAUGCCGCGUGUGUGAAGAAGGUCUUCGGAUUGUAAAGCACUUUAAGUUGGGAGGAAGGGCAGUAAGCGAAUACCUUGCUGUUUUGACGUUACCGACAGAAUAAGCACCGGCUAACUCUGUGCUAGCAGCCGCGGUAAUACAGAGGGUGCAAGCGUUAAUCGGAAUUACUGGGCGUAAAGCGCGCGUAGGUGGUUCGUUAAGUUGAAUGUGAAAGCCCCGGGCUCAACCUGGGAACUGCAUCCAAAACUGGCGAGCUAGAGUAGGGCAGAGGGUGGUGGAAUUUCCUGUGUAGCGGAGAAAUGCGUAGAUAUAGGAAGGAACACCAGUGGCGAAGGCGACCACCUGGGCUCAUACUGACACUGAGGUGCGAAAGCGUGGGGAGCAAACAGG